UACGUAGGGUGCGAGCGUUAAUCGGAAUUACUGGGCGUAAAGCGUGCGCAGGCGGUUUUGUAAGCCAGAUGUGAAAGCCCCGGGCUUAACCUGGGAAUGGCAUUUGGGACUGCAAGGCUGGAGUGUGGCAGAGGAGACUGGAAUUCCUGGUGUAGCAGUGAAAUGCGUAGAUAUCGGGAGGAAUACCAGUGGCGAAGGCGGCUGCCUGGCCUGUUCUUGACGCUGAGGCGCGAAAGCUGGGGGAGCAAACGGG
rnacentral:rRNA from 1 species